rnacentral:lncRNA from 1 species
GCGGAUAAAGUUUUUUGGUAUUCCGGAAUUUUUAAUGCACAUUGGAAAAUCCAGUUGGUUAAAACUUCAAAAAGUGGUCACAUGCCAAUCAUACAGAACUUGAUGGAAGCAAAGUAUUCUCGAUUCAAAUCUACCCAAUGAAGCAACAGUAGCAACAUACAGAAUCAUUUCAUGGAGAUGCCUUCGAAAUGGUUUCUUCCCUUUUCUCAGCAUGCAUGUGGCUCGGUAGGAGUUUCAAAGCCAAUGGUUUUCCAGAGAUUUAGACGUUACCUAAAACUUAGAAUAUCCCUUCU